AGGGUUUGAUUAUGGCUCAGAUUGAACGCUGGCGGCAGGCUUAACACAUGCAAGUCGAGCGGAAACGAUGGGAGCUUGCUCCCAGGCGUCGAGCGGCGGACGGGUGAGUAACGCGUAGGAAUCUACCCAGUAGAGGGGGAUAGCCCGAGGAAACUCGGAUUAAUACCGCAUACGCCCUAAGGGGGAAAGGCCGGGAUCUUCGGACCGGUCACUAUUGGAUGAGCCUGCGUGAGAUUAGCUUGUUGGUGGGGUAAUGGCCCACCAAGGCGACGAUCUCUAGCUGGUCUGAGAGGAUGAUCAGCCACACUGGGACUGAGACACGGCCCAGACUCCUACGGGAGGCAGCAGUGGGGAAUAUUGGACAAUGGGCGCAAGCCUGAUCCAGCCAUGCCGCGUGUGUGAAGAAGGCCUUAGGGUUGUAAAGCACUUUCAGUAGGGAGGAAGGCCCUGUAGUUAAUAGCUGCGGGGAUUGACGUUACCUACAGAAGCAGUACCGGCUAACUCCGUGCCAGCCGCCGCGGUAAUUCA
rnacentral:rRNA from 1 species